UGGCUGCCCCCGUGCGGGCGCGGGGGGCUGAUGCCGGGCGAGGAGAGGUGAUGGAUAUUCCCAUGUAGCGCCCGCGGGGGCGGUGCUCUCCCGGACGGUCCGGCGGGCCCGAUGGCGGGUGGCAGCGGCAGCGCGGGGGGCGCCGGGACCGGCGGCCGGGCUGUCCCCCGGCUGGACGGGCUGUUCCUGCGGCGGUUCCUGCGGCUGCUGGCCGUGCUCUUCCCCGGGUGGCCCUCCGCGAGCGCCGUCAUGUUUCUGACUCUGCUCGGUGUCGCCUUGCUGGAGCAGCUGGUUAUUUACCAGGUCGGCGUCAUCCCCAGCCAGUACUAUGAGGUCCUAGGGAACAAAGAUUUCUCCGGGUUCAAAACAUUGACUGCCGUUGCCGUGACUCUGAUCAUAGUGAACUCCACGCUAAAAAGCUUCGACCAGUUUAUCUGCAACAUGAUGUACGUGAACUGGAGGAAAUCCCUCACUGAAUACCUCCACAGCUGCUACUUCCAAGGCCAGGUCUACUACAGCCUGCAUGUGCUGCGUGAGGACAUCGAUAAUCCGGACCAGCGCAUCAGCCAGGAUGUGGAGAGGUUCUGCAGGCAGCUCAGCUCCAUGGUCAGCAAGCUCGUCAUCUCACCUUUCACGCUGGCCUACUACACACACCAGUGCUUUCACAGCACAGGCUGGCUAGGCCCAGUGAGCAUCUUUGGAUAUUUUGUCAUUGGGACAAUUGCAAACAAACUAUUGAUGAGCCCAAUUGUGUCUAAACUUGUGCAGCAGGAAAAACUGGAGGGCGAUUUCAGGUUCAAGCACAUGCAGAUUCGUGUCAAUGCAGAACCAGCUGCUUUCUACAGGGCUGGGCGAGUGGAGCACAUGCGCACGGACCGGAGGCUGCAGAGCCUGCUGCAGACCCAGAGAGAGCUGAUAGGCAAGGAGCUGUGGCUAUACAUUGGGAUCAACACCUUUGACUAUCUGGGUAGCAUCCUGAGCUACGUGGUCAUUGCCAUUCCCAUUUUUUCUGGGGUCUACAGUGACCUGAGUCCAACAGAGCUCAGUGCCCUCGUCAGCAAGAAUGCUUUUGUUUCCAUCUACCUCAUUGGCUGCUUCAGCCAGCUCAUAGAUCUCUCCAGCACUGUGACCGAUGUAGCUGGCUACACACACAGGAUUGGUGAACUGCAGGAGACCUUGCUGAGCCUUGGCAGAAAAAAAAAUGGUAACUACUCAGAAGCCAAAACGAGCUGGGAUUUGGACGGCAGCCAUUCUGGGGAGGACUCAGUGCCAAGGGACACAGCUUUCCUUCUGGACCAAGUGACGCUUUCGGUGCCAUCCUCUGGCAAGCUGCUCAUCAAGGACUUGAGCCUCAGGAUCUCACAAGGAAACAGUGUGAUGAUUGUGGGAAACACUGGUACAGGGAAGACAUCUCUCCUGAGGGUCCUUGGAGGACUCUGGGAGAGCACGCGGGGGAGCAUCAAGAUGCUGACCUGCUUUGGCCCCCGGGGAGUGGUAUUCCUACCACAGCGGCCCUUCUUCACCGAUGGAAGCCUGCGUGAGCAGGUGAUCUAUCCCCUGAAGGAGAUCUAUCCAGUUUCAGAUACAUCCUGCCUUCGCUGGGCAGGGAUGACCUAGUGCAACCCUGCCUGCUGAAUGCACAGGGUUUGGUGCUGUUGCCUGUUGCCAGAAUGGAGCCACUGCCCUCAUGUGGGAUCCACAGAGGCUGAGGAAGAGCAGCCUGGCUGCCAGCACACCCCAAUCCACCUGCAGCCCCUCCAGAAAGACCCAGCUGCUACCACAGGAUAAGCCACAACCUUACACUACAGCCACUGCAGGACCAAGCAGACCUUUUGGAAUCCCCCUCUCUCCAACCCUGUAACAGUGUGCUCUUCCAAUAUGCUCCCAGGACUGAAGCCCCACACAUAGAAUUGCCUGCAGGCAGUCGGUGGGAUCCCAUGUCUGCCUCCCUCCUUACCUGCCACGUUCAGCUGCCCACCCAGGAACCAGGAGACCCUGCCCUGGUGCAGAUCGCAGUCCUGGACAGAGUGGAAGGGGGUGAUCCAGGGGUCACAAGAGAGGGGCAGAAAAAACCUUUCCCUGCAAGUAGAGCUGUUCUCAGUAAGGCACACUGAUGGGAUCAACAGCAGACAUGAGAGGUUGGACACCAGCAUGGGGAACAGGAUCUAUCUGCCAUCAGGUACACUCAUCGCACGCUAUACACCUGGUUUGUAUCAGAGCUGCCCCAAGGUCUGGGGUUACCUACAAGGGUUCUGUCACUCUGGGAAAACGCAGUCCUGUGGGCUUACAGUCCCUCCACAAAGUCAAGCCCAACCAGCCUCAUCAUUCCAGAAGUCUCUUAUUUACCAUGCACGCCUACUCUGCUUCUGCAUUUUUCCCCUCCCUUUAAGACAUUAGAUUUUUCCAUCAGACCAUCCCCAGAAGCUCUUAACAAGGCAGGCAAGUCUCAACUUCUUAUCUGAUAACUCAGAAUAGGUGCCCACUGCUCUCAAAUCAGAGCUCACCUUGCUGGAAAUCCUGUCGGUGCCCUUCCCUUUCAACCAGCUCCCCUGCAUUUGCAGCAUCUGGCUGCUGCCUCAGCUCCUCAGGCCAGCUGAGCCCUGCAGCCUGCUCCUGGCAGAGGGGUUGAGCCUGCCCAAAGGUCUGUCUGACUCUCUAACACCAUGGCACAUGUGAUAUGGGGUGACCCAAACCACCAGGGCUGUCCUGGAUGCUGAAGUGACUUGUUCUCUGACCGGCUGUAUGCUGUAACUUCUGCUCAUCCCUUUCAACUUUUUCCCUGCAAAGGGAGAGCAGCACCCAAGCCCUGUAUUUUCCGUGCCUGGGUGGGGAGGAAGGUGCAGACCUCUUUCUAUGCUGCUUUGGAUCUCCCACCCCUCUCUGGCUACAGCCUGACAUCCAGUGCCCUCUCAGCUUUGGCUGAACUCACCCUCCUUAAACAUUGGUGACCAGACUCAUACACAGUAUUCCCGUUUAAUUUUAUUCUUGUUCAUAUCUUUACAGAAAAUGGCACAUAAAUCACAGAUGCUGGAUGACUAGAAGUUGUUACAGCUCCAUAUCUCAAACACCUCAAUACUGAAUUCUUUUCUCACUGUAUAUACAUUAUUUACACCCCAUGGGCUAAAUCUAACACGUCGAACGACCAGGGAACAAAGACGAACAGGGGUUGGAUGAGCGGGCUGAACAUUUGACAGAAGAAAAACUGUGGGGAAAGGGUGCUCACAGCUGAAAGCAGGACAGAAAGGGGCACCUGGAAGUCACUGUCCUACAGCUUUUGGAGGGGGAAUAGUGCCCUACUGGGAUGGAAAAGUGAUGGUACCAUGGAGUGGGUUUGGCUGUGUGAGUCUGCAUGUGCUUAUAUGGCAUGUAUGUACACAUUACAGGGUGUAUCAGAGUGGAUGUGCAUGGCUGUCAUUCCCUUUAACACUCAGAGGGUGAGCUGGACAAAUUUAAAUCAAUAAAUACAUUAGGUGGAUGUUGUUGUCUCA